ACACACACCCCUGAUUCCAGAAACACAACAGGAGCUGACUCAAAAGGGAGUGUCUGGUGCAGGCAUGCAGGGAGGAAGAAUGACUCUGAGCUUGACCAUUCAACUUCGAAACUUUAACAUCAAUGGAUCAGCACACACUGGUGUACGGUCUGCUAUGCAUGCAGCCCUGUGCUAGGCAAAAGAAGUAUCAGACCAGGAACUGACAGCCUCACUGCAACAGGAAGAGAGGCUUCACACAAUAAGCGUUUCAUUCAACCAGGCUGGACCUGUGCUUAUUGAGUUGAACAUCACUGAGCACAAAAUGCAAGCCAGACACCAUAAGAGCUGUAAGGAUGAUAAAGAUGUCUUUCUACCCUCGAGAGCUCUAAGUGUGGUCAGGAGAGAAACACAUGCAAAGAUUAUGCUGGCUGGAAGGAAAUGCUGGAAUGAAGGUGGAAGCAUUCUAUUCAUCUAAAAGCACCGGUAAUUAACGAUGCUAAUAAAUGUAUAAUCCCUUUGUAAACAUCUCUUCACAAGGUCAUAAAGAAGGAAGACUGAAUGAAGGACGCCAGGCUUUCAUUUUAGAAUUAAUUUUGUCAUUGAAUGCACUCACUGCAUUAUUUGAUAGAGUACUUUUGCAUUUGAAGUAGUACAUUUGCCUUCUACCAUCUCAUUAACAUUGCUUUCAACAGAAUCAGAAAUAACACAAACCACUGCAGGGUAAUUUUGAAUGCUCAUUUGACUAUGCAGUGACAUCAAGUGGCGAGUUGAGGAAUGAUCAUAUGCUGUGUGAGAACUCCGUGUUAAAAAUUCCAUGGAGCCAGGCUAGACACCACAUUUGGCACUUUCAGCUGUUUAGAUUUCAGAGAAUUAAAAGGAAAUGGUCACCGACCUGCCUUUGAUAGUACCCGUAUACCCCUUCCCACCAUAAGAAACCAGCGUUCCUUAGAGAAAUGGCUAAUUCUAGCUCUAGGGCAAGAAAUGCUAAGAUGUGCUCAAAACAUCUCAUUAUACCAGCAAGCCAGGGAGCCAUCAACGACUACUGGAGCUGUGUCAAAAGGACCAACAAACCAACUUGAAGAGGCUCCCGCUGGCCAACAGUGGGGCAAUUAGAGCAUCAAUAAGAAUAAUAUCUGUAACAAACUGAAACGUAUCAAAUAUGUUUAAAUUCAUAUGUUUAUAAUUACACUCAAAAAACGAAGAUGCAGACCACUUUACCUUGAGGAUGUUACAGAAUGAAAUUAUCAUUCUGAAAACUGGUAAAUAAAGAGAAGGUAUCAAGUAAGCAUGUAUCUGGCUUUUUCUAUAUGAAAUAAAGGAAGCCAAAUAG
rnacentral:lncRNA from 1 species